rnacentral:tRNA from 1 species
AAGAGAAAGAAUAGAAUUUAACUACUCAAAAUAUGGUUAGAAGCCUUAUUUUUAUCUUUUUCUCU